rnacentral:tRNA from 1 species
UAGCUUAGUCAGUUAGAGCGUAGUGCUUGUAACACCAAGGUCACGGGUUCAAUCCCUGU